UACGUAGGGUGCAAGCGUUGUCCGGAAUUAUUGGGCGUAAAGAGCUCGUAGGCGGUCUGUCGCGUCGGCUGUGAAAACUCGGGGCUCAACUCCGAGCUUGCAGUCGAUACGGGCAGGCUAGAGUUCGGCAGGGGAGACUGGAAUUCCUGGUGUAGCGGUGAAAUGCGCAGAUAUCAGGAGGAACACCGGUGGCGAAGGCGGCACUCUGGGCCGGUACUGACGCUGAGGAGCGAAAGCGUGGGGAGCGAACAGG
rnacentral:rRNA from 1 species